UACGUAGGUGACCAGCGUUGUCCGGAUUUACUGGGCGUAAAGAGCGCGCAGGCGGUCGUUCAAGUCGAGUGUGAAAGCCCCCGGCUCAACUGGGGAGGGUCACUCGAUACUGAUCGACUCGAAGGCAGGAGAGGGAAGCGGAAUUCCCGGUGUAGUGGUGAAAUGCGUAGAUAUCGGGAGGAACACCAGUGGCGAAGGCGGCUUCCUGGACCAACACUGACACUGAGGAGCGAAAGCCAGGGGAGCAAACGGG
rnacentral:rRNA from 1 species